rnacentral:piRNA from 1 species
UUCUCAUUCUCUUUUUUGGUCCC